GCGUGGAUGAACUUGGAUUUUCUCUUUUGCUUUGUGGAUAACUGCACUGGAUUCAGUGGAUGUCGCGAUGUUCUCGAUGCACAGAAGGAGAUCUGUCGUGGCUUGUUUUGUGCUCGUUGUUUUAGUGUGUUUCUGGGACGCGGCAUCAGGGCAGCUCUCCUAUUCUGUUUCUGAGGAGGUGAGUCCGGGAACAACAGUGGGAAAUCUCGCUAAGGAUCUAAACCUGAAUGUUCAGGAACUGGAGUCGCGCAUGUUUCAGAUUGUCACGGGAGCCAAGAAAAAAUAUUUCGAGGUAAAUCUAAAAACUGGGUUUUUAUAUGUGAACGAAAGAAUAGACAGAGAGGAGCAUUGCGCCAAAGCGCCCAAAUGCACAGUCAGUGUAGAAGCGGUUAUCAACAAUCCAUUAAAGCUUUAUCAGAUAGAAAUCAAUAUUGUGGAUGUAAACGAUAAUUCUCCGUCAUUUAGCGAGAAAUCACAAACAAUAGACAUUGCAGAAAACACACUGUCAGGUGUUAGAUUUCCUCUUCAUCAUGCUACAGACGCAGAUGUUGGAAAAAACGCCAUUAAUGAUUACAAGCUUAGCUCGAAUGAGCAUUUUUCUUUAGCAGUGCACAGAGGAGAGGGUGUAUCUGCUGAAUUAGUGCUGCAGAAAGCUUUAGACCGAGAAAAAAAGCCUGCGAUACAGCUCACACUGACCGCUGUAGACGGAGGAACACCAUCUAAAACUGGUACAUCGAUUAUAAUGGUUAGAGUUUUAGAUAUUAAUGAUAAUGCUCCUGCGUUCAGUAAGCCCUUGUAUAAAACAUCUGUUUUUGAAAAUGCGGCUAUUGGAACGACAAUUGCUGUGCUAAACGCGACAGACUUUGAUGAAGGCAGUAAUAGCGAUAUUAUUUAUUCUUUAAUUAAAAGAGAUCAAAAUAAAGUCCUGCAAAUGUUUGAUAUUGAUCAAAAUACCGGUGUUAUUAUAGUCAAGGGCAAUAUAGAUUUCGAAGAGAACAACGCAUUUGAGAUCCGCGCACAGGCCAGUGACAAAGGACAGCCCCCAGUAUCCACACAAUGUAAAGUCCUAGUGGAGGUGCUGGAUAUUAAUGACAAUGAGCCAGAGAUAACCGUGACGUCACUCCUCAGUACAGUGAAAGAGGACGCCAGUAUUGGCACUGCUGUUGCUCUGGUCUCAGUGAUUGACAGAGAUGGUGGCAGAAACGGUGUGGUGAAUUGCGCUGUGUCAAAUAAUGUGCCUUUUAAACUUCAGACAAAUUACAAGAAUUAUUAUUCCUUAGUGGUAGAUGGACCUCUAGACAGAGAGCGCGCGUCUGAGUAUAAUGUGACAAUCAGCGCUGCUGAUGAAGGGUCUCCGCCUCUCUCUAGUACCAGUGUCAUUGCUGUACACGUUUCUGAUGUCAAUGACAACGCGCCGCGCUUUCCAGAGCCCGUCAUUAAUGUGUAUGUGAAAGAGAACAGUCAGAUUGGAGCUGUUCUUCAUACAGUAUCUGCUGUUGAUCCUGAUGUAGGUGAUAAUGCCAGAAUAACAUAUUCUUUACUAGAAAGCUCUAAAAGCGGCCCGGUAACAUCCAUGAUCAACAUCAACUCCGACACUGGAGAUCUGCACAGUUUACAGUCGUUUAACUAUGAGGAGAUCAAAACAUUUGAGUUUAAAGUUCAGGCCACAGACUCUGGUGUUCCUCCGCUCAGCAGUAACGUGACUGUAAAUGUGUUUGUCCUGGAUGAGAAUGACAACAGUCCCGCGAUUCUCGCGCCCUAUUCCGAGCUCGGUUCCGUUAACACCGAGAACAUUCCCUAUUCUGCUGAGGCGGGCUACUUUGUGGCCAAGAUCAGGGCUGUAGAUGCAGAUUCUGGUUACAACGCGCUGUUGUCCUACCACAUCUCUGAGCCCAAAGGAAACAAUCUGUUCCGAAUCGGAACCAGCAGCGGGGAGAUCAGGACUAAGAGGAGAAUGAGUGACAAUGACCUGAAAACUCACCCGCUGGUCAUUUUGGUUUGUGAUAACGGAGAGCCCUCACUGUCAGCGACUGUGUCUAUUGAUGCUGUGGUUGUUGAAAGCGGAGGUGACGUCAAGACUCCAUUCAGACAUGCGCCGGUAAAGGAGGAGAGUUUCUCGGAUUUAAAUCUGUAUUUGCUGAUCGCCAUUGUGAGUGUGUCCGUCAUCUUUUUACUGAGCCUCAUCAGUUUGAUAGCUGUGAAAUGCCACAGGACAGACAGCAGUUUGGGCAGGUACAGCGCCCCGAUGAUCACCACACACCCUGACGGGAGCUGGUCUUACUCCAAAUCUACUCAGCAGUAUGACGUGUGUUUUAGCUCAGACACACUGAAGAGUGACGUAGUGGUUUUCCCCGCGCCAUUUCCGCCUGCAGAUGCAGAACUGAUCAGUAUUAAUGGAGGAGACACUUUCACCAGAACACAAACACUCCCUAAUAAAGAAAAGCCUAAAGUUCCCAGUUCAGACUGGAGAUAUUCGGCGUCCCUCAGAGCAGGAAUGCAAAGUUCUGUCCGUAUGGAGGAGUCCUCUGUGAUGCAGGGAGCUCAAGGAGUCCUGGUUCAGAACUGGCCCACCGUUUCCAGCGCUCCCGAUAAUGAGGGUGGAGAGGUGUCUCCACCUGUAGGCGCUGGAGUGGACAGCAACAGCUGGCAUUUCCGAUAUGGGCCGGGUCCCGGAGGCCCUCCGCACCUGAAACCCGGUGAAGUUCCUCCCGAAGCCUUCAUCAUCCCUGGAUCUCCGGCCAUUAUUUCCAUCAGACAAGGACAGGACGGUGACGACAAGAGCGACUUUAUUACCUUUGGGAAAAAGGAGGAGGCCAAGAAGUUAAAGAAGAAAAAGAAGAAGGAGAAGAAGGAUAAGCGGGAGAAAGGGAAGGAUGAUGAUGAUUAGAGAGACAGAGGAAGGAUGUCUUUUAAAAGACAGAAGUCUCAACGAAAGUCUGUAGAACAAAAAGUGUGCGUUUAUUAAGUCUGAGAUGCAUAUUUGGGAGCUCGUCCAAAUGUUUUCUUUUUACAAAAACGUUCCUGUUUGAUUACACAAAUACAUGGCAUCCCUUUCCAUUUCUUAAUGAUGAAACUGAUUAAUCUUGCCUGUUAGAUUACUGAUUAGUGUUCUCUACAAUUCAGACUGGAGUUGGUACGUCUGUCUUUUUCAUCCGAUUGGCUUUUGUUUUCCUUUUGAUAGGAAGACAAAAUCUGAUGUAUAAUGUUUGUUAGCUGUGUGCCGCUUCAAGUGUGUUAAAAUGCAGGAGGGAAAAAAAAAACUGCACAUGCUGGUGUAAAUAUGCAGGUCGAGGUGUGUGAAGACGCUA
ensembl:processed_transcript